rnacentral:misc_RNA from 1 species
GAAAUGCGAUACGUAAUGCGAAUUGCAGAAUUCAGUGAAUCAUCAAAUCUUUGAACGCAAAUUGCGCUUUCUGGAUAGGCCAGGGAGCAUGCCUCUUUGAGCAUCGUUUCUACCACAUCUCGUCGGCUUGCUGACGGAGAAUGAGAGUCUUGUUCGAAAUGAGCAAGUCUCUUUAAGAAGCGUGAGUUCCUAAACUCCUAGAUACAAACCUUUUUAUCGGUUUAUUUUCUAGUGACAUGGAUAAUCAUUUAUUUUAUGUCAUUGGGAAGUAGACUGCUUUAGAGGUCUAGGUAAGCUGGACUCGUCAGAAAAUUAAAUUUUUUUGAAUUAGAUCUCAAAUGAAGCAAGAUUACCCGCUGAACUUAA